rnacentral:misc_RNA from 1 species
AACGUAUGCACUGUGAAUCAGACCACGAAAUACACGUUUAAAAACAUAUAUGUAUGACAUACUUAUAACUAUAUUUAGAUAAUUAUAUACGCCGAUAUAAUACACCCGGUAGAAAUACAUUUGCGCAUUUCAUUUAAAGCGUGAUUUAGACACAAACUGUUAGAAUAAGUGAAUUAAAUAAAGCAUCGAUUAUGUGAAUAAUGACAUCUAGAUUUAUGUGGAAAUAACGUUUAACCGGAAGUAUAAUUUAUCGUUGAACAGUAUGGAAAUAUAUAAAAAAGGAAAUGUGACGUUCAUAAUCGUUUUAUAAAGAAGGAUUGAAUAUUACCUAGAGUAAAUUGGUAAAUUAUGAAUUCGUUACAGAACAAGGUUUUCAACAAAUAUGAUCGAUAAUGACGAUUAUUAAAGAACCUUUAAAUAUAGGUGCAAGUGACUUAUUAAAAGGAGUUGAAUAUACACAUUGCGGAGUACUACACAUCCAGUGCAACACAGUUUUUGGGAAAAAAUGGAAACAGCGGUAUGUCAUAAUCUCUCAGUGUUGUAUAUACAUAUAUGCUAAUAGGAAUGCCAAGAAAACGGAACAAUCGUAUUCUUUAAAACAGUUUGAAAGUGCGGUGGAAUGUGAUCCCGAAAGCGGAGAGAAUAUUUGUUUCUGCCUAAGAUACAAAAAUGCACAAGCACCUAUACUGUUUUCGUGUGAUACUUUGGAAAGAAGAGAAAAAUGGAUUUACAAGUUAUGCUCAAACAUUUCAGAAGUACAAUCAAACUUAUAUAAUGUUUCGGCUGACAGUGGAUUCGGCAGUGCUGAAGCAGUUCCGAGGAGUAAAUUGAAAGUACAUCAAGGAAAAGAAGAUCCUGUAGGUUAUGACGAGGUUGACGAAAGAAAUUACGAAACUCCAGUACAGGCAUGUGCAGACGUUAGGAACUAUGACUUUCCCAAAGUAUUUAGUGGAGCAACGAGCACUCAGGACAGAUUUUAUGAAAAUGUGAAAACAAAACAUACAGAUACAUUUCAGCCAGAUAAACCUGCACAACAAAAAGUGCAGAAAGUGCAACGAGAUGUAAAAUCGAAAGCGUUUACAGACGAGCUUAAAGUUAAAGUCGCCAGAAAAUCUAUUUCCACAACGAAGGAAGGACCAUUGCCACCUACAAAACCUACAUGUUCUCAGCCUUCCGGACCAGUCUCUGAAUCAUCAUUCGUGUCUAUACGUGGUGAUACAGAAGAGUCCAUGUCGCUACUGUCUGUGAGAGAACAGGAAAGCUUGUAUGAAAAUGAUACUGACAGCAGUAAUGAUAGCGAUAAUACAUCGCCUAAAACAAUUUAUGAAAACCCAGAAGAGUUGGAAAGCAUGAAGGUACAUAGGUUUGAAAGAUAUGAAUAUUUCUGUGACCAGAAGAUCAAGGUUAUUAAAUCGAAAGGCUAUUGGAGUUUUUGCUAUUUUUCCCGGUGAAUCAACAGAACAUGAACUUUGCGUUAUGACACCAAAAGGCUUGAAAUAUUUUCGUAUAUAUCUUCUCAGAAUGAACGAGUGUCCCUCUACAGAUCACACCAAUAUAAUACGUUUCCUGCUUUGGAUGAUCUACUGUCUUACUACAGCGCUAAUGAUU